rnacentral:rRNA from 1 species
UACGAAGGGGGCUAGCGUUGCUCGGAUUCACUGGGCGUAAAGCGCACGUAGGCGGAUCUUUAAGUCAGGGGUGAAAUCCUGGAGCUCAACUCCAGAACUGCCUUUGAUACUGGGGAUCUCGAGUCCGGGAGAGGUGAGUGGAACUCCGAGUGUAGAGGUGAAAUUCGUAGAUAUUCGGAAGAACACCAGUGGCGAAGGCGGCUCACUGGCCCGGUACUGACGCUGAGGUGCGAAAGCGUGGGGAGCAAACAGG